CCACCAUCAACCACCUGUUUGAGGCCCCCUGGAAGUUUAUUUCAAAUGCUGGCAAGCCAAACACAACUGGGAUGUAUUGUUUAUAACAUUGGCUAAGUGCUCAGUGCAUUUGUUAGGAUUUUUAUGUUUUCCUGUUCUGUUGGAUGUAAUUUCACCUGGAAAAUGUUCUAGUAUGGAUUAGGAAUAGUUAAUGAAGGUUUCCCUGCAAUGGAUUAGAGUAUAAACAAUUUCAUACUUUUUCUACUGUGUUUUCAUACUGUGUUUACAUUGUGUUACAAUUAAAAUGUCAAUUUAAAUGUAUAUUUCUUAGUGUAAAUCUGUAUAGAUUGAAAUAAAACUUCUUGUGUUCUUUGACAAUGUGUUAUUGUUUAUAAUAAACAUGAUUUUACAUGCUA